rnacentral:tRNA from 1 species
AGGUGCAUAGCUUAGUUGGUUAAAGCGGCAGACUUUUAAUCUGUAGAUCUUGGGUUCAAAUCCCAAUGCACUUA